rfam:Pelodiscus sinensis unplaced genomic scaffold scaffold510, whole genome shotgun sequence.
CCUCCAGUUCUUGGCACGCAGGCAGUAGCUCGUUCCUCCUGCGUGUGAUGUACGGAGGGAGAGAAACUGCAAACUCCAGCAUUGUGUCUGCAGAGCCAGUAGCUCCCGUCUGCUGGUCCUAGCCUCAUUCACCGGCACAAGC